rnacentral:lncRNA from 1 species
GGCGAUCCCGCGGCCCCGUGGAUGGAUAAGAAAGGUUCCGUCACCCCCUGGAGGAAUCCGUGACCGCCCACAUCCAUCUCCCCCUCUUCCCCCCAUCUCCACCUCUCCCUCUCUGUCGUUCUGGAGGAAGGGCCGACGCGCCCUCCGCCGUCCACCACGCGCCACCGCGGCCAUCGACCUCCCCUCGACACUCCGCCCUGACCAGGAGCUCCGGGACGCUCCUCCGCUUCUUCUUCGCCAACUAGCACAAGCCGGGACGCCACAUCGACGCCGCCCUCGCCAAUCCCCUCCGCUGGCGUCCGCCUCUGCCUCACCGUCGAUCCGCCGCCAUCCGCCGCUCGGUUUGCCCAUCGUCGACAAGCUCCGGCCAACCCGACCCCUCCACGAUCUUUGGUGUGAGCUCCCGCAUCCGUUCCCCCUAUUUUUUUACCCUCAAAUUCGGCGCUGUUUGGCCGUCCCUUGCAUUCCCCGCCAUGGAAGGGAGCUCGGCUCCACGCGCCCGUGUGCCCCCUGACCACCCCUGCUCCUGCGUGACCCGUGCUUCGGCUCCACUCAGCGCGCACGCGUGCCUAGCCGUGAUGCCCCCGCUUGCUAUUGCUCUCUUGCGUUGGCUGCCGCUGAUGCUCUUCCGCUGCUACUGCUUUGAACUGCCGCUAUGCUGUUGCUACUGCUGCUUAUUGCUGCUGUAUCUGCUAGUUGCCGCCGCUGCUGCUCCGUGCUUAUGCUGCUGCUUGGUUGCUUCUGCUACUGCAGCCUGCUACCUCCGGCUGCGGCUGCUACUGGCCAUGGCCGUGGUGUGUGUGAGUGUGCUGUGUGUGUAUGCAGCGUGGUGUGUGUGAAUGUGCUGUGUGAGUGCAUGUGUGUGUGAGUGGGUGUGGUGCCGGCCCAAACUAGUUUAGGUCUAGAUUAGUUCUAGGAUUAAUUCUGCUAUUUAGAUAGUAUCAGUUUAGUGCUGAUUAGCCUAAUAGCUUAUGACCCGUGGCCCUCUGUUUUAAAUUAGUUUAGUUAAUUCUCUUUUUGCACAUGGGCAAAUGACAAAUGAGCCCCACUUUGACCCUGUUGACUUGUCAACCCUGAUUGGUCAACUAUUGACUUUGACCCUGGCCCCACUGUCAUACACAUGGCUAGCCCCCUAGUAGGUGUAAAAAGGAUUCUGCCUAUUUAGUAAUUAAACGAAUUAGAUAAAUAAAAGGAAUGUAGAAAAUGCUUAAAACUUUGGAAAAUCAUAGAAAUUAAACCGUAGCUCGAAUCGAAAAACUUUCCACAUCAAAGUUGCUUAGAACAACGAGACAAAUCCGAAUACACAGUCCGUCCGUCUGCCGCACGCCCUUAGCAUAGGAAACCUGCAACCGUCCCCAUCGGUUCGUUUGUCCGAAAAUGCCAAACUUUGGGGAAACAUUCCCGGAUGCUCUCCCCUUUGCCGGUAUCGUGUAGCACCGCGUUAGAACACGCCUAACACCGCGUAUCGUCAUGUCAUGCUUAGUGCUGCAACUGUAUGCUUGUAUUUACUGUUUCUUCCCCCUCUUCUCUCCGGUAGACCCCGAGAUUGCCGCUGAUGCCGCUGUGAUCGACUACGUCGACGACGACCCCUUCUUCUUGUCUGAGCAACCAGGCAAGCCCCCCCUUUGAUCAUCCCUAUAUCACCCAUUCCACUCUCUCAUGCUUGUAUUAGAUUUUGUACUGUUAUUUGAUUGCUCCUAUUCUGAUGCAUAGCCUGCUUUUGUAGUUGUUGUUGUACCUUACCUGCUUAUCCUAAACUGCUUAGUAUAGGUUGGUUCAUGAUUCAUCAGUGACCCCCACUUGUCCUUGUUGCCCCUACUUCAUCAUCGACGACUCGAUCUACGUGAUCGAAGAACAGAGCCCGACACCUCACAUCACAUCACGCCCCUUUUGUUGCUCGACUCUAUAGAGCUACUAUCGAGUGCCGAGGGUGAUCCCUCAUAACGCACUCCUGAUGUUAAUUCUGUAGUGUAGCUAUUCAGUCGUGGUCAUCGAGGGUCAUUUCCUCUUUCACCAUUCCCUAUACGGCUCUGUCGUUCAACACCUCAAGUGUGAACCUCGAGGGUGGUCCCUCUUACGUUCACCUUGAUGAUUACAUUGAGUGGAAUCAUCUGGGGGUGAUUCCUCGGGUUUUCCCCUUAAUGUUUGGACACACGGUUACCUUUACAUUACUUGACACCUUUGGGAAAGUCGGGCGGGCCCGGAGAGCACCCGCAAGAUGGUUACAACGCACGGCCGGGAAGUCAGGCAGCCCUCAAGUGGGCUGGGCUUGCCCUUGUCGUAUUUCCUCGAGACGGGGCGACGGGGUCACAUUAUCGUGAGUCUCUGCUCGUCUCCGCGAGCCCCCAAUGCACUAACAGGUUCGGGUAUUUGUUCCUAGUUGGCCUUUACGCACUAACCACCACGCGAGAAUAGAUAUGGGCCUCGACGUCGUGGUAUCAGCCGAAGCUUUGUCAGAUGUCCAGUUCAGCAUUGUGGCACGGUCGGAUCAUGCCAUCCACUACACGGGUGGUGCUGGUAUCCACCCUGCACACAACGACCCGGAGUGCAACGGGCGAUGGGCCCAAACCCCGGAGUGCUUAGGAUGUAGAAGGCGGGGACCUCUCUGCUGAACCUAGGUAGGGCUACGACGUGUUGAUCUUCCAAGGCCGGGCAUUGACCCCAGAAAGGUGUGUCCGGCCAGAGUGAUCGAGCGUGUUGGGUAACGUGGUGCACCCCUGCAGGGAAGAUAUAUAUAUUCGAAUACCGUGUCCACGGUAAUGGACGUUCAGACUUGUAUCCUGAUCUUAUACAACUAGAAAUGGAUACUUGAUAUGUGAUGGAUAUGUGGCCCUGAGAUUGCUUUCUCGUAGGGAGGCGAGGAAGGACCUCUGGGCGUUGAUACUACAACAUGUUUGUUAAUAUAAACUGCUAUUCUUUACUCUUCUACAUGUUGCAAGAUGCUUGGAGCUGCUUGAAGAUGCAAGUCUUCGAUAGGCUAGGCCUUCCCCUCUAUUCUGGCAUUCUGCAGUUCAAUCCACAGAUAUAGCCCUUCCAUUUGAUACCAAUGCAUACUUAGCAUAGAUCUGAUGCUUGCGAGUACUUUGGAUGAGUACUCACGGUUGCUUUGCUACCCCUUUUCCCCCUUCCUUCUUUCCGGUUGAUGCAACCAGAUGGUGUACCCCUGGAGCCAGAAGCCACCGUUGACGGAUACUACUACGUGGAGACCGCCGACGACCAAGAGUAGUUAGGAGGUCUCAGGCAGGAGGCCUUGCCUCUUCGAUCGUUGAUGUUUGUGCUAGCCUUUUAAGGCAUCCUUGUCUAACUUAUGUCUGUACUCAGAUAUUGUUGCUUCCGCUGACUCUUGUGUAUCGAGCUUGUAUUCGAGCCCUCGAGGCCCUGGCUUGUAAUAUGAAGCUUGUAUUACUUUGAUUUGUGUCUAGAGUUGUAUUGUGAUAUCUUUCCCUGAGUCCCUGAUCUUGAUCGUACACAUUUGCGUGUAUGAUUAGUGUACGGUCGAAUCGGGAGCGUCAGAAGUUGGUAUUAGAGCCGACUGCCUG